AUUGAACGCUGGCGGCAGGCCUAACACAUGCAAGUCGAGCGGUAGAGAGGUGCUUGCAUCUCUUGAGAGCGGCGGACGGGUGAGUAAUGCCUAGGAAUCUGCCUGGUGGUGGGGGAUAACGUUCGGAAACGGACGCUAAUACCGCAUACGUCCUACGGGAGAAAGCCGGGGAUCUUCGGACCUCGCGCCAUUAGAUGAGCCUAGGUCGGAUUAGCUAGUUGGUGAGGUAAUGGACUCACCAAGGCGACGAUCCGUAACUGGUCUGAGAGGAUGAUCAGUCACACUGGAACUGAAGACACGGUCCAGACU
rnacentral:rRNA from 1 species